GAUUUCUGAUGUCGCUUUGUCAGCCCACCGUGGUUACACGCGUGAGUGCUGACGAAGGUGCCGUCUGUCUUCCUGUCGGUCGCUGCCCUCUUCACUGAGUGGUGGUUUCGUAUUGUACAGGAUCUUUUACUUUGAACAAAUUAGAGUGUUUCAAGCAGGCUUUAUGCUAUGAAUACAUUAGCAUGGAAUAAUAAUUUAGGACUUCGGUUCUAUUUUGUUGGUUUCUAGGACUGAAGUAAUGAUUGAUAGGGAUAGUUGGGGGUGCUAGUAUUCAGCGGCCAGAGGUGAAAUUCUCGGAUUCGCUGAAGACUAACUUAUGCGAAAGCAUU
rnacentral:rRNA from 1 species